rnacentral:rRNA from 1 species
AUUGAACGCUCGCGAGAUGCUUUACACAUGCAAGUCGAACGGCAGCGCGGACUUCGGUCUGGCGGCGAGUGGCGAACGGGUGAGUAAUGUAUCGGAACGUGCCCAGUAGCGGGGGAUAACUACGCGAAAGCGUAGCUAAUACCGCAUACGCCCUACGGGGGAAAGCAGGGGAUCAUAAGACCUUGCACUAUUGGAGCGGCCGAUAUCGGAUUAGCUAGUUGGUGAGGUAACGGCUCACCAAGGCGACGAUCCGUAGCUGGUUUGAGAGGACGACCAGCCACACUGGGACUGAGACACGGCCCAGACUCCUACGGGAGGCAGCAGUGGGGAAUUUUGGACAAUGGGGGCAACCCUGAUCCAGCCAUCCCGCGUGUGCGAUGAAGGCCUUCGGGUUGUAAAGCACUUUUGGCAGGAAAGAAACGUCGCGGGCUAAUACCCCGUGGAACUGACGGUACCUGCAGAAUAAGCACCGGCUAACUACGUG